AGUGAACGCUGGCGGUAGGCCUAACACAUGCAAGUCGAACGGCAGCACAGUAAGAGCUUGCUCUUACGGGUGGCGAGUGGCGGACGGGUGAGGAAUACAUCGGAAUCUACUUUUUCGUGGGGGACAACGUAGGGAAACUUACGCUAAUACCGCAUACGACCUACGGGUGAAGGCAGGGGAUCUUCGGACCUUGCGCGAUUGAAUGAGCCGAUGUCGGAUUAGCUAGUUGGCGGGGUAAAGGCCCACCAAGGCGACGAUCCGUAGCUGGUCUGAGAGGAUGAUCAGCCACACUGGAACUGAGACACGGUCCAGACUCCUACGGGAGGCAGCAGUGGGGAAUAUUGGACAAUGGGCGCAAGCCUGAUCCAGCCAUACCGCGUGGGUGAAGAAGGCCUUCGGGUUGUAAAGCCCUUUUGUUGGGAAAGAAAAGCAGCAGGUUAAUACCCCGCUGUUCUGACGGUACCCAAAGAAUAAGCACCGGCUAACUUCGUG
rnacentral:rRNA from 1 species